AUCGCUUCUCGGCCUUUUGGCUAAGAUCAAGUGUAGAGUCUGUUCUUAUCAGCUUAAUAUCUGAUAUGGACCUAAUUGGUUCAAGAUAUUAAACU
rnacentral:snRNA from 1 species